UUGGCUAGACAUCUGGAUUGGACUUUCUUCCUGAACAGAUGGAGAACUAGGAAGGGAUGGAAAGAGAUGUGCAUGUUAAACUAUACUACCAGCACGGGAUCUCCACAAUGGAAUGUCCACACGCCAUACUUCGCCGAUUGAGGACAUGAAACAUUGAAGGUUAUUGAAUGAGAAGGAAUGGAACAGGGUGUGCAUUUCUACAGCAAGCCCAAAGCUCUUUGUUUCAAGAGGCUCCUUCACAAUUCCUUCCAAUGUCAGAUGGCAUAUACUCUGCAAAAUCAGAAAGGACAGCUGUUGCCCUACAAGGCACUGCAAUGCUGCAUCCUCUUACUCAGGGCAAAUAAGGAAACUGAAGCAGGGAGAGAUUAAAUGGCCUGUUCAAGGUCAUACUGCUAAAUGGCAGAAUCUAGAUUCAAGUCCAGACGCCAAAAAUCUUGAAUGUGUUCCUCUGAAGAGAUGGAGAGAUGAGUCUAAAGAAACUAAAACCCAACACUUUAUAUUAAACAUUUUACUUUUAACUGACACAACUAUGUAUAUUUGGGAUGUACAAUGUGCUGUUUUGAAAUUCUGUUACAGAGUGGCUAAAUCAAGCAAGGCUACACAUUUUCUCUCAUCUAGUUGUUACUUUGUAUGUGAGGUGAGAGCCUUUAAAAUCUACCUGAAAAGAAAAAUUGCUAAAAGCAAUUUUCAUGAACACAAUACAUUGUCUCAAAAACAACAACAACAACCUAUGGGCCAGGGAGUUGACUCAGCAGGAAACAGCAGUUGAUGCCAAAUCUGACAACUUGAGUUUGAUCCCUGGGUCCCAUGUGGCAGAAGGAGAAAAGCUGUCUUCUCACCUUCCUUCAAGGUGAGCAAAUUCUCACAUCUAUUCAACACAAAUAAAUAAGUAAAUGCAAAAAUAACUAUUUUAAACCAACUAUGGCCAUGGCACUCUGCAAUGAUGUCUUGCAUUUAUCUUCUUGCUUAAAUUAAUGUUUUCUGUCCCUUGACCCUUAUCCCCUGAGGUGUCUGUACCCCUGCUUUUUGGAACUGACCAGUCUACCCUGUGCUUCUGUGGACUUGACUUUAUAAGGUUUCACAUAUAAAGUGUGAUUGUGUAGUGUUUGUCUUUCUCUGCCUGGCUUCUUUCACUUAGCCAAAUAGCUGCUUCAGUCAGACAGGUGAGGCUAAUGAGGGAGACGAGUAAUGAGCUAAAGGUGUCCAUGGAUUCUUCAGAUUAAAGAGGAAGAUUCUUCAAGCCUCAAGUUGAGUUUUGCCGAGUGACCGUUCUUUGGGAGCUGCCUCACUCAUGGAAGCCUCCACCACAUUCUCUUGGCAAUACCCUUCCAGUAGAGCUACACACUUGUCCUUGUAAACUCAGAGAUCCCAGAAACAAAAUCCCACAGGUCCCAGUUAAAAUCCGUGAAUAUUGAUUCCAGGAGCCUUUCCCCAUUCCUGGUGUCUCCUCUCUCCUCCUGCUGCUCAUCUUCUCACUCCAAAACAACUCCCAUCCUCUUCAUCCCAACAGCUUACACACCAACAGAAAGACCCCCUCCAGAUCCUGCUAAGCUGGCCUUAGGGUCUCCUUGUCCUCUGUUCUGCUGUGGACAAGAGUUCUGCUUGGUAAGAGUCAGAGGUGACUGGAAGAGGGAAAGGAUGAGGUUGCUCUUUAGUGGGUUGUGGAAUAGAUAGCAAGCAGCAGAAGCAUUUCUCCAUUGGAGAGCAAAGCAGUGAGUAGUCACUACACCCACACCAUGUCCUCUUCUCCCCACCCCCACCCCCAGGCUUCCACCACCAAACCUUUGUCCCUUCUCCCUGCAGCUCCAUCCUGUAGCUGCCUGUAAGAUGCUUUGCUGUCUCUCACUGGUUUUAAUCAUCUUGCUGUCCACAAGUUUAUACGACCCCCUUUAUAAACCUUUGCCCUUGUUUUCCACUUAAGUGGGUCAUCUGCUCCUUGCCAGGAACCCCUAUCAAUGUGGCUCCAUAUUGAUAUCUACAGCUCUCUUUUCUCCUGAACUGCAGACUCUUGGAUGUACCUGCCUUUAUCAUGACUCCAUGGUAUGUUUGGGACCAACCUUCCAUUUGCUGUGGCCCAGACAGAAGUCAUUUCCUACCACCUCCAUGAUCCUCUGGUGUUUCCCAUCUCAGCAAGAGGAAUCAUCAUCUCUGCUGCUCUCAUGGUUCAUGGCCCAUGUCUAGGCUUCAGCUGUGAUUCCUACUCCUCCUUCAUUUCUACAAAGUUCAUGAUUACAUACUACAUGUUCCCCAGACUAAUCCAAAUGGAGUCACAUGACUCUACCUCCACAAUCUGCCAGCAUCUCCCUACACUUGAGUGAGUGAGUGAAUGGAUGAGUGAGUAAGUGAGUGAAUGGAUGAAUGAGUGAGUGGCUGAGUGAGUGAGUAAAUGAGUGAAUGGAUGAAUGAAUGAGUGACUGAGUGAGUAAGUGAGUGAGUGAGUGAGUGAAUGAAUGAAUGGGUAAGUGAGUGAGUGAGUGAAUGGAUGAGUGAGUGAAUGGAUGAGUGAGUGAAUGGAUGAGUGAGUGAGUGAGAGAGUGAGUUUGAGAAUGACUCCCAGGUUGGGGUAUUUCAUGUUUUCAGAAGUAACUAGGACUAAAAAUGUUAAUAUAAAAGCAGACAAUUUCUUUUAACUUGGCAACUAAUCAAUUAUUUUUAAUUAUGACUCAAACAAAAUAUGUAUCUGCUAAAGAAGGUAAGAGAGACACCAGAUUGUGUUCCAAAGUUAUUUAAAAAGACAAAUAUUUAGGAAUAGCAAAUUAAAAGCAUAUGAACAAAUAAAUACUCAUCCCAGAGUAGCAUCCUCAUGGGAUUACAUGGGUUCACUCCUCUUUCUCUAAGCCUUGUACCUCAAAGUCUUCAUGACCCAGAUUCCACUAACUUCUUGAGUGUGUGUGUGCGUGUGUGUAUAUGUGUGUGUGUGUUGUUGCUGCUGUAGUCUUGUUUCUUCAGCCAUAGCAGAGGGUGAAGACCCAAUAAGAAAUCAACAUAAUCUACUUCACUUUUUAAAAAAAAAAUAAAACUUGUUUAGUUUUAUUCAAAUUUCCAAUGUCCUCUCUGAAGUUUUCUAUAUUCUUCAUCUAUUUGAAAUCCCCCUAACUGACAACAUUUGCUCUGACACAUCGCACACCAUGGAAAAUUACAGGCUGGAGUUGUAGCUGAUGGUGUCAGCAUGUAUUUGUGAACACCAUAAAGCACAGAAACGAGACAUAUUACAUUCCCUAAUAUAGGAGGUAAUUUGUUUCCCGGGCUGCCUGGUAUUUGUGACAUUCAUUAGCGAGAGACGCAAUAGGAAAUAGAAUUACACAAAUGGGAGCUCAGGUUGAAUUUGCUGUUUGGGAGGUGUGCAUGAUGUAUGGUCAGCUGUGCUCCCUGCUUACCAUGCUUAGGGCAGAGAUGCUGCUUCAGGCUUCUGUGCCCCAUGUCUGGACAAGGACAUAACUAUUCCAGACCCCCUGGGGCUGGGGCUCUCUCAGACACCCCACUUUCCAUUCUCACCCAAACUUCCAUCUAGGAUAGUCCUGAUAAACUCCUGUCUCAGGAUAUUCUAUCCAUGAAAUGGUUAGAGAUGUGUUUCUCCCAUAUAAUUUAGCAAUGUCAAUCAUCCUCCAAUUUGCAGGAGUAAACUUAUUAGAGAUCUCAGAUGGAAAAAAUAAAGCCCUCAACCCCAUGUGCUCUUUUCCUUGUAAGCUUUUUAAACUAGUAUGGCCCCAUUCACUACAGUUGAAUAGGAAGAAAGAAAUUCAUAAGCCUGGCUUUGUCAAAUAUCAUUGCUCUAUACUGGCACAACAAGAGUUUGCAAAUACAUCCUAUUGUUUUUUGAUAAUACUAUUACUUUGCAUAGGCUGGUAAACCAAGCCAAGAUAAAGAAGAAACUUGAAGGGCUGGAGAGAUGGCUUAGCAGAUAGGAGCAGCACAGUUGUUUGACAGAGUAACCUGCUUGGCUUACUUGUCUCUGAAAGUGAACAUUUCAAAUGGGCAGAGUGGAAUCACAUAUAAUGAUAGUCCAUACUGAAAUGCAAAGCCCUAUGAUUCCCUAAGCUGCUUAGACAGGAAUAAAGACACUAAUAAAAAUUUCAUAAAACAUUGAGCCUCACAUUGAACCCAUAGAUGCUUCAUGAUUAAGGCUGACAAUUUUAGCCACUGCUUAGAAAGUUGCAAACACAAAUAGGGGAAGUUUAA